rnacentral:lncRNA from 1 species
CAUUUUCCUAUUGUUUUACUCCUAAGUCCACUGCUAUAUUGUUAAAUUUUGUUUUCUUUUUCUAUUUUGGCUAUGAUUAGAAUAUUUAUCCGCGCUUCUGAGAGUAAUCUAUGAAGUAUAUGAUAAAAAAUGGUUGAAUUUCUUAAUAUGAGCCUAAUUUAUUUAUUUUUUUGGUACUAAUUUGUUGUAGUUUGAAAUUUGGCAGUGAUGAUAUAAAUUCAGCUUUAAUGCCAGUUCUGCUUCUGAUAUUCUGUGAUUGAUAGAGCUGUUCAUAUUUCUGAGCCUAAAAAUUUAUGUUUUACAUUGUAAUUAGUUGAGUUUUAUCUUAAUUGAUGUGUAAAAUGUCUGUUAAUUAUGUUGUUAAUUAGAGGCCAGUGAUGUAUGGUAAUUGUCCGUACCAUUUGAGGAGCUUUUAGCUUCAUUGAUGUUAUAUUACCUUUAGCUUCUGAGGCCUUUUUAGUUUUUUUCCUUAUUGUGUGAAUUUAGAUUAGUCGAGCUCAUUAAGAGGCAGCCUUUUAGUUUUUUCCUUGUUGUGUGAAUUUGGAUAUCAACGCAUGAAUUUUGAUUAGUCCGUCUCUAGAAAUGGU